rnacentral:rRNA from 1 species
UACGGAGGGUGCAAGCGUUAUCCGGAUUCACUGGGUUUAAAGGGUGCGUAGGCGGGCAGGUAAGUCAGUGGUGAAAUCUUCAAGCUUAACCUGGAAACUGCCAUUGAUACUAUCUGUCUUGAAUGUUCUGGAGGUUAGCGGAAUAUGUCAUGUAGCGGUGAAAUGCUUAGAUAUGACAUAGAACACCUAUUGCGAAGGCAGCUAACUACGGAAAUAUUGACGCUGAGGCACGAAAGCGUGGGGAUCAAACAGG